ensembl:lncRNA
CUGGGUGAAGGCCUAAUGUUAGGGCACUGGGUGAAGGGCUCUGGGUGAAGGACUAAUGUUAGGGCUCUGGGUGAAGGACUAAUGUUAGGGCUCUGGGUGAAGGACUAAUGUUAGGGGAGUGGGUGAAGGGCUCUGGGUGAAGGGCUAAUGUUAGGGGAGUAAGUGAAGGCCUAAAGUGAGGGGGGUGGGUGAAGGCCUAAAGUUAGGGAAGUGGGUGAAGGCCUAAAGUUAGGGGAGUGGGUGAAGGGCUCUGGGUGAAGGGCUCUGGGUGAAGGACUCUGGGUGAAGGGCACUGAUUGAAGGGCACUGAUUGAAGGACUAAAGUUAGGGGAGUGGGUGAAGGCCUAAAGUUAGGACUCUGGAUAGGGGCUUGUGAGUUUGUUAGUCUCUGAUUGGUGGUGCCCGUGCG